rnacentral:lncRNA from 10 species
UGGAAAACAGGGAAAGGUGUUCAGCAACAUUACAGUAUUAUUGGGAAACCUAUGCAGAGUGCACAUAAAUGCAAGUUACAUCACAUUAAUUUGUUUUCUUUGUUGGCCUUAUAGAGGAUGAACCAUUAGUGUCUUUCAGGUUUGAUCCUGUCUUAUAUGUGACAUCCUCAGCAACAAGCUAAAAUGAUCUGAAUUAUACCAAUAGCGGGGCUCAAGCAGCAGUGAUCAAAACAUAAUAUGUAUGUGGUAAAAAGGAACACUUGUUCUUCAGUGGUUUUGCCUAGGUCCAGUGUAAUUACUUAUCAAAACAUGUUUUAAGCUACAGCAUCUCUGUUAAAUUUAGAAAUGUGAAACAUGGAAGAGUUAUCAACUUGGAAUACAAUACUAAAACUGAAUAUAACUGACCCAAAACUACCUGUCAAAAGCACAGUAAAGCUUAACAGGCAUAAAAACUAAGGGGUAAAACCCAACUGCUCUGACAUAAGAGUGAAAAACAGCAAAUGCAAACCAUCAGGUUAAAGUGAAUCACAAAACAUUAGGCAUGUAGAGCAUGUUUUAAAAAUAGGAAAAUGACACUGAGCUGUAUUACCAGGAAUAAUAUUUUUAAAAUUCCAGGUAUGGCCUUCUACAUUUAAUAGCAAUGGAGAGAAACAAGCCUAUGGGGGAGGUGCAGAAAAUGAAUGGGAUCUAGAAAGGGAGUUGAGUUUGGAAGUUAAGGAAGUCAAAGAAACAAAUACAUCCAAAAUGGAUUUAGAAUCUCUCCUCUAAAUCCAUCCUUUCCAAAAAAUGUUUCCUAUAUUGAGAGAUUUGGUAAAAAAAAAAAAAUUAGCUAGUGACAGUAAGUAACUAUAUUACCUUAUAAAAUAAAGUAGUAUUUAAAUGUAGAUCAGAAAUUAUGCUGUCAAAGAUAAAUCUGCUGACUAGGCUGUAGAAUCUGAAACUUAAAUGCUACUAUCAGUGAUAGAAGGCAGAAAAGUGUCUCAAAAACAGAAUUGCCAUAUUAGGACUCAACAUUAAUGAAACUAUUAAGAAACAAGUACUUAACUGUUUGUAAUUGAAGCCUACUGAAAAACACAUUUGUAUGUUUACUAAAGAGAUCUAACAGUUUUAACUGACGAAAAAUACUGCAGCUACAUUUCAGUCUUUUAAGGUAAAACAAGAUCUAGAAUAUUCUAGUUCAGUAUACUGGGCUCAAAACCAACUUUCCUUUUGAAAUGCAUCUAGACUAGACUAUAUUCCUUACAUAAUAUCAUUGUCAUCAUCAUCUUCAUGUUUUCUCUUCAGUGGGUUUGCUUCAUUGGCUGUGUUCUGUGACGAAACCAUGUUGGUGGUAAUAAGAAUAUUUUUGGGCCCAAUCAUUGAAGGAUUAAUCAGAACAUUUUGAACUGCAGUUGUUGCAGGAACUGUAAACAGAGAAGAAAGCCCCCCCAAAACCAAGCUAUGAAUUACCCAGAAUCUGAAACAUAUGAUAAAAAGUAUACAACAAAGCUGAAUGUAAUUCUAAUACCAAUUUCAAUAGCAUGAAGUGCAACUAUAUCAUAGAAGAAACAUAGGUACUUAUACUGCAAUGAGUUGAAUUAAAUUUUAAAAAAUCUUUAUUUUUAAUUGGCAAAUAAUAAUUGUGUAUUUAUUUUUAAAUUACUAUUUUUUUGAGACAGUGUCUCGCUCUGUCGUCCAAGCUGGCGUGAUCUUGGCUCACUGCAACCUCCGCCUCCUGAGUUCAAGUGAUUCUCGUGCCUCAGGUUCCCAAGUAGCCGGGAUUAUAGGCGUGUACCACCAAACCUGGCUAAUUUUUGUAUUUUCAGUAGAGACGGGGUUUCACCACGUUGGCCAGGCUGGUCUCGAACUCCUGGCCUCAAGUGAUCCUCCCGCCUCGGUCUCCCAAAGUGCUGGGAUUACAGGUGUGAGCCAUUGUACCCUGCCAAUAAUUGUGUAUAUGUACGGGAUAUAAUGUGAUGUUCUGAUCUAUGUAUAGAUAAAGAUUAAACAUAUCUAGUACAAGGUUGAAGAAGUUCUGUUGUAUUUUAACAACCUAGAAUUUCAAUUUAGUCAUGGGAAACUGCACUGGAUU